UAACUUAGAAAAAAAUUGCAAAGCUCUCUUCUCUUCCUCUCAUAAACCGACCUCUCCUCUCUCACUCACCCUCACCAUUGAAAUUUCCAUUUCUCAUCCAUUCAAGCUUGGAUUUGUCUCUUUGGAACUAGGAACUUGCAAGGAAAUCACUCCUCUUAAGGAAACGCGAAACGGUAGAUAGUGUGAAACGUUGUGGUUGUUGGUUGGAAGCAUUGCCGAGAUGACGGAGAGCCUAGCGAGACUGUGGGUCGUGUGGAUGGCGAGGACUUCGUAGAUUAUGCCGGAGAGUAGAUGUUAGCACUUGUUAGGCUACAUUUUGGUUAGGCUUAGGGCCUAGUUUGUAUUUUGGAUGACUGUAUGUCUUAUACAUUUAUACUCAGACAUGUUUAGUGCCUUUUGGCCUUGUGAUAUAUUCGGUUCAUAA